CAAACUAAAGUAAUUUCGGAUCAAUUAAGGAACGGAACAGAAUAGUAUUCUACAAGAAAUUUGACGAUUGUCUCUGUAACAAGAAUAUAUAAUAAAGCUAAGCCAGAGGGGAGAAGGCAGAUUUUCGCAGGAAAUUCAAAAUAAUUAUUCAAAAAAAAAAAAAAAAAACCUUUAAAGAAGACGACCCGAGUGACGGUUGUUUCUUGUUGGUCAGAUUUAUUUAUUUAUUCAUUUAUCUCUCCUUUUGGCUCGUGACUCUCAUCCUCUUUCUGGGUUUUAUUUUUUUCAUUUCCUUUAUUGAUUUCUCAAAAGUUUUAUAAUUAACCCACAUAUAGAAAUAAUUUAUUAGUAUUUAUAACGUUGAAGAUCUUCUGUUUAUAACAAUGCGCGUUUGUUGCGGAAAUGAAACUGGGUUUUUGUUAGUUUCUGGUGAAAGCGGAGCUUUGAUAGAGUUUGAAUGAAGCGGCGAUGAAGAGAAUAGAAGUGAAAUGGAAGUUAGAUCGGAGAAUAUUCAAGUUAGAUGCGACAAAUUACCGGCGCCGGUGGUUCCCAGAACACGAUUACAAGUUUGGUUUAUAAGGGUAUGUUCCAGCAUAUUUUUAUGGACAUGUUUGGUACAGUUAGUGGCCAUCGGAGAGCUUUGGCACCCUAAAAUUUUCCCCAAUUUAAGCAACAGAAUACAUUGGUUUAAAAAUGUUCCCCGCCAUGUGGACAUCGUUAUUCAAUCGCCACCGCCUCUUGUUGCUCCAAGAAACUAUACAAGUAAUGGUUUUCUCAUCGUAUCCUGCAAUGGGGGCUUGAAUCAAAUGCGUGCUGCAAUAUGUGACAUGGUGACUGUUGCACGGCUUUUGAAUCUCACUUUGGUGGUUCCACAGCUUGAUAAGACAUCUUUCUGGGCUGACCCUAGUAACUUUGAGGACAUCUUCGAUGUAAGACAUUUCAUUGAUUCCCUUAGAGAUGAAGUUCGAAUCAUUAAACGGCUGCCAAAGAAGUUCAGUAGGAAGUAUGGAUAUAAACCUUUUCAGAUGCCUCCUGUUAGCUGGUCAACUGAAAAGUAUUACUUGCAACAGAUUUUGCCACUUUUAAGUAAACAUAAGGUGUUGCACUUCAACAGGACAGAUACACGUUUGGCAAACAAUGGUAUCCCACUUAAUCUUCAAAAACUCAGGUGCCGUGUUAAUUUCCAGGGCCUGAAAUUCACUCCUCAGAUUGAGGCUUUGGGAUACAAAUUGGUUCGUAUUCUACAAGAAAGGGGACCUUUUGUGGCUUUACAUCUGAGAUAUGAGAUGGACAUGUUAGCUUUCUCGGGUUGUACUCAUGGCUGCACCAUGGAAGAAGCCGAGGAGCUAAAACGUUUGAGGUAUGCAUACCCAUGGUGGAGAGAGAAAGAGAUAGUGUCAGAAGAGAGAAGAUCACAGGGUCUGUGUCCUCUGACACCUGAGGAGGCAGCAUUAGUUUUGCAAGCGUUGGGGAUUGAGAAGGACACACAGAUUUAUAUAGCAGCUGGUGAGAUUUAUGGUGGUGAAAAGAGGUUGGGAGCACUAAGAGCUGCAUUUCCACGGAUUGUUAAAAAGGAAAUGUUGUUAGAUCCAGCAGAACUACAAUCUUUCCAGAAUCAUUCAUCUCAAAUGGCUGCCCUGGAUUUUAUGGUUUCCACAGCCAGCAACACAUUCAUUCCCACGUAUGAUGGGAACAUGGCAAAAGUUGUGGAAGGUCACCGCAGGUAUCUUGGGUUCAAGAAGUCUGUCCUGCUAGAUAGGAGAAAACUUGUAGAGUUGGUGGGUAUGCAUCAGAAUGGGACACUUUCUUGGAAUGAGUUUUCAGUUGCUCUGCGGCUAGCUCAUGAGAAAAGGCUUGGACAGCCUACUUGGCGUAAAGAAAUUGCAGACAAACCCAAAGAGGAAGAUUAUUUCUAUGCAAAUCCUCAAGAAUGCCUUUGUGAGGAAAGGAAUUGUGAUGAUUUACUAGGUCAUGGUAACUCGACCGAAGUACAGUAACAGCGCAACAGAUUUAACUCGUCUUGAGAUGUUAUCCCUCUGAACCAGUCAGGAAAACCAUUCCAAGACUGGAUGGGGGGGUCAAGCCAUGUUGCUUUCGAGAAGUGAGAGAUGAUAUGAAGAUGCAGAGUUUGAGGACCGAUUCCAAUCAUAUCAGGUCUGGCCCGUCUGGAGUCCAAGAAAAUAUCAUCAUCAUCAAAUAAAAAAAAUAAAAAAACACUAAGCAGCGCUGAU